rnacentral:rRNA from 1 species
GACGAACGCUGGCGGCGUGCCUAACACAUGCAAGUCGAGCGGAGUCGAUCGACGGAAGCCUUCGGGCGGAAGAUGGUUGACUUAGCGGCGGAUGGGUGAGUAACGCGUGGGCAACCUGCCUCGAAGACCGGGAUAACAGCCCGAAAGGGCUGCUAAUACCGGAUGUGGUCAAGGAUCCGCAUGGAUUUUUGAUUAAAGGGGAAACCCGUUUCGAGAUGGGCCCGCGUCCUAUCAGCUAGUUGGUGAGGUAAAAGCUCACCAAGGCGACGACGGGUAGCCGGCCUGAGAGGGUGACCGGCCACACUGGAACUGAGACACGGUCCAGACUCCUACGGGGGCAGCAGUGGGGAAUCUUCCACAAUGGGCGAAAGCCUGAUGGAGCGACGCCGCGUGAGCGAAGAAGGCCUCGGUUGUAAAGCUCUGUCUGGAGGGACGAAGGAAGUGACGGUACCUCCGGAGGAAGCCCGGCUAACUACGUG